CUACGACGGGUACGGGUUGUGAGAGCAAGAGCCCGGAGAUGGAUUCUGAGACAUGAAUCCAGGCCCUACGGGGCGCAGCAGGCGCGAAAACUUUACAAUGCGGGAAACCGUGAUAAGGGGACACCGAGUGCCAGCAUCAUAUGCUGGCUGUCCAGGUGUGUAAAAUACACCUGUUAGCAAGGGCCGGGCAAGACCGGUGCCAGCCGCCGCGGUAACACCGGCGGCCCGAGUGGUGAUCGUGAUUAUUGGGUCUAAAGGGUCCGUAGCCGGUUUGGUCAGUCCUCCGGGAAAUCUGAUAGCUUAACUAUUAGGCUUUCGGAGGAUACUGCCAGACUUGGAACCGGGAGAGGUAAGAGGUACUACAGGGGUAGGAGUGAAAUCUUGUAAUCCCUGUGGGACCACCUGUGGCGAAGGCGUCUUACCAGAACGGGUUCGACGGUGAGGGACGAAAGCUGGGGGCACGAACCGGAUUAGAUACCCGGGUAGUCCCAGCCGUAAACGAUGCUCGCUAGGUGUCAGGCAUGGCGCGACCGUGUCUGGUGUCGCAGGGAAGCCGUGAAGCGAGCCA
rnacentral:rRNA from 1 species